ACAGUGGACGCGAGCAUCUUUGUGGUCAAAUUAUUAAGUGCAGAUGGCGGAUGCCUUGGCACCAGAAACCGAUGAAGGACGUAUGAGGCUGCGAUAAGCCUCGGGGAGCUGCCAACAGAGCUGUGAUCCGAGGAUUUCCGAAUGAGGAAACUCAGCGCGAGUAAUGUCGCGUUAUUUCUCCCAGAACACAUAUGGGAGAUAAAGGGAACGUGGGGAAGUGAAACAUCUCAGUACCCACAGGAAGAGAAAACAAACGUGAUUCCGUUAGUAGUGGCGAGCGAAAGCGGAUCAGGCUAAACCAUUAAUGUGCCAAGCCGGCAGGUUUUGCAUUAAUGGUGUCGAGGGAUCGACUCGAAUUAACUGCCGUUAAUUCAACAAGUCAGAAAUUAAUGAAGUAGGUGAACGACGUGGGAAAGUCGGGCGUAGAAGGUGAGACCCCUGUAACCGAAACUUCAUUAACUUGUAGUUGAUAUCCCAAGUAAUACCGGACUCGUGAAAUCCGGUAUGAAUCUGGCGGGACCACCCGCUAAGCCUAAAUAUUCUCUGGUGACCGAUAGUGAACAAGUACCGUGAGGGAAAGGUGAAAAGAACCCCGCAAGGGGAGUGAAAUAGAAUCUGAAACCGUCUGCAUACAAGCCGUUGGAGCUACAUUAAGUAGUGACAGCGUGCCUUUUGAAGAAUGAGUCUACGAGUUAGUGUCAUGUGGCAAGGUUAACCCGUCGAGGGGAAGCCGUAGCGAAAGCGAGUCUGAAUAGGGCGCCAUAGUCGCAUGAUCUAAACCCGAAGCGAGGUGAUCUAGCCAUGGUCAGGUUGAAGCGUGGGUAAGACUGCGUGGAGGACCGAACCCACAAACGUUGAAAAGUUUGGGGAUGAACUGUGGUUAGGGGUGAAAGGCCAAUCAAACUUCGUGAUAGCUGGUUCUCUCCGAAAUGCAUUUAGGUGCAGCGUUACGUGUUUCUUACUGGAGGUAGAGCUACUGGAUGGCCGAGGGGACCUACAAGUUUACCAACGUCAGCCAAACUCCGAAUGCCAGUAAGUGAGAACGUAGCAGUGAGACAGUGGGGGAUAAGCUUCAUUGUCGAGAGGGAAACAACCCAGAACAGCAACUAAGGUCCCAAAGCGUGUGCUAAGUGGAAAAGGAUGUGAAGUCGCAUAGACAACCAGGAUGUUGGCUUAGAAGCAGCCACCAUUAAAAGAGUGCGUAAUAGCUCACUGGUCAAGUGAUUUCGCGCCGACAAUGUAACGGGGCUCAAGCACGCCACCGACGUUCUGUCAUUCACACAUCAUCCAGGUCGCAAGAUCCAGGAGUGUGGAUGGGUAGGAGAGCGUCGUGCAACUAGUGAAGCGGUGGAGGAAUCCAACCGUGGAAGUUGCACGAGUGAGAAUGUAGACAUGAGUAGCGAAAGAUGGGUGAGAAACCCGUCCGCCGAAUGACCAAGGGUUCCUGGGCCAGGCUAAUCCGCCCAGGGUAAGUCGGGACCUAA
rnacentral:rRNA from 1 species